rnacentral:rRNA from 1 species
GAUGAACGCUGGCGGCGUGCCUAAUACAUGCAAGUCGAGCGAACGGACGAGAAGCUUGCUUUUCUGAUGUUAGCGGCGGACGGGUGAGUAACACGUGGAUAACCUACCUAUAAGACUGGGAUAACUUCGGGAAACCGGAGCUAAUACCGGAUAAUAUUUUGAACCGCAUGGUUCAAAAGUGAAAGACGGUCUUGCUGUCACUUAUAGAUGGAUCCGCGCUGCAUUAGCUAGUUGGUAAGGUAACGGCUUACCAAGGCAACGAUGCAUAGCCGACCUGAGAGGGUGAUCGGCCACACUGGAACUGAGACACGGUCCAGACUCCUACGGGAGGCAGCAGUAGGGAAUCUUCCGCAAUGGGCGAAAGCCUGACGGAGCAACGCCGCGUGAGUGAUGAAGGUCUUCGGAUCGUAAAACUCUGUUAUUAGGGAAGAACAUAUGUGUAAGUAACUGUGCACGUCUUGACGGUACCUAAUCAGAAAGCCACGGCUAACUACGUG